UUUUUUUGAAUUUUGAAGGCAGGAAAAUAGUAGUGGCGCACCAUCUAACCCACACCGUGCGCCAUUGCUAUUUUUGAAAUUUGAAUUUGGAUCUCGAUCUAGAUCUGGCUCAUUUUAUUGGCUUGUUUUUUUGCUCUUUUUUGUUGCUUGAAUUUUUUUCAAAUUUCAUUCUCGACCUGGAUCUGGUACGUUCUUUGUGCCGGGGGAGCUCCACAUGUAGUCGGAAGUAGAG
rnacentral:lncRNA from 1 species